GAAUAGUUUCAAAGAACAGCAGUGGGAAAAUAGUGUAUUUGACAAACAAAAAGGAGAGAAAUAGAAAGAAAUAAUAAAAGAAAAGAUGAGGGAGAAGAGUAUAUUCUGCCAAAAAAAGAAAAAUAGGUAAAAAAAAUAGCAGAUAAAAGAAAACGAACCCGAGAGGCAACUUCCAGAACUAGGAAAAAUUAGGCACAAACUAAAACGUGAAACCCGAAACUCACCGAAAUCAAAACAAACUGAAAGAGAAACUCCAUAGAAGAACCAAAAUCGAAUACCUUUAGUGUUAAGAGACUAAAUUCGGCACAACACCCUCCCCCAGCCGAAUUCUCAAUGCCUCAAUUACCCCAAACGACACAAAUCUCCUUACUGAACAACUCCUUGAUUUUCUCCUAAAAUCUCUCCCCUUAUCCCCCCUUGAUUUUCUCCACCCAAUCACAAUCCCACUAUUCUCUCCAUGAUACACUCCUCUAUUCAAAUUCCACAGCAUUUCAGUCAAACUCCACCACCUCAUUACACAGGUGAUAAAAAUAAACACUCCUUAAUGCAGCACAAGACUCGAACCUCAAACCUCAAGGGAACUUCACACGCUACCUUUCCACUAUACCACAGGCUCAUUUUGUGACAUAAAACCAAC
rnacentral:lncRNA from 1 species